rnacentral:misc_RNA from 1 species
GUUGGUGAACCAGCGGAGGGAUCAUUAAAGAGUUGCAAAACUCCCACAACCAUCGCGAACGUUACCCGUAACCGUUGCCUCGGCGGCGUCGGCCCUCCGGGGUCGCCCGCCGGCGGCACCUGAAACUAUGUUUUUGUAGGCCUCUCUGAGUAACUUAUCAAAUAAGUCAAAACUUUUAACAACGGAUCUCUUGGUUCUG